GAGACCUACAAGCUGACAGUACAGAUCAGUGUCUUCUCAAACAGUGCUAUGACUUCAGCUUCCUCCUAUGUUCAGAGCAUGAUGUGCCCCUAUUCUCCAUGGGCAGAGAGGGAAAUUCUUUGUGAAAGAAACUACAUGGAGGUUUCAGUGAGAAGAGGUGUGCCACUUAUUGAGCCAAACGUUGUUCAAGAUGAUCCUGAUUGGUCCCUUGCAUACCCUGAGAUGGAACAGCCUUCACAGAAGAGAUGAUCACAUGGAAUGUUCCCCGUGUUCUACCUCUUGUUCCUACACCACAAAUUACUACCCUUGAUGUUCAAAUGGGAGUUGAUGGCCGCAAGCUUGACCCUGCAACAAUUCAGAAUAGAGGUUAUAAACUGG